GACAAGAUGGCCGAGCGGUUAAGGCGUAUGACUCAAGCGUAAGCUUGCCGUACAUGAUAUGUUGCACCUAUUCAUAUGGGGAAACCUUCGUGGGUUCGAAUCCCACUCUUGUCA